UACAGAAGUUGCUCACCACUUCUGUGUGGCACCCCGCACGAUGCAGGUGUAUGUUUUCUUAAAAAGAGGCAGGGUACUGUUCCCCCUCUUAGACAAAGCAACAAAGGAAGGCACAGCGGCAGCUGUGCGCUUGGUUUUCUGAGCUGUGGCUUGAAGCUACCCAAACCUCCAAUUCCUCAUUGAGCACAGCUGCAGCUAGAUUCAGCUUUAGGGUUUCUGCCACCCUGAUGGCAUGCCUUGUUGCUGGCAGGGUGCUGCAGUGUGUCCUUGACCGCCGGUGGGAGCUACCUAUAUAAGGAGUUACUAUCUGAUCACUACAAAUGGAAAGAGAGGCUUUUUUUUCUUUCUUUCUCUAACAAAAGAGAAGUUUUAUUUUUACCCUUUUUUCCACUUUUCAAAGAUUUUCCACGUUCGGGUCCACGUUCCAGCCUCUGGGUGCUCUUCCAGGAUGAACAAGUGGUGCAGAUUCAUCUGAGGCAUCCAUCCACUGUCUCCCAUCUUUCAGAGAGGAUGACAGAAAUGAGAUUACUUGGUAACUGUCUGAGGGCUGA